CUGAGCCUAGAGUCAGCCUGCCUCAGCUCCAAGGUUGAAGAAGCUGUACAAAGUAAUCAUGAAGACGGGAUGGACGGACAGUGGAGAAAUCAGAUGUCAGGGCUUAAGCAUCAGGUAAGACAAUUUGGAAGAAACAGCAGCAGUCUCUGAGCUGGAACGACUCCUGGCAGCUCUGUUAGUGUGAACGAAUAUUCUGAAACUAGAAGGCCCCUCGAAUUCCUUUGAUUUUAACAAAGACAGCAACAAACAUUUUAAAAAGUUGGUUUCACAACAAAAGCUCAAGAAAUUCCUUGGCUUAACACUGAGUCAAAGUCUACACUUUAUAAGGCUACACUUUAUAACAACUGAAUUCACGGCAGACACAUUCUAACCCAAAUGAUUCCUGCAAAGAACCUGCAUUUGUAUUUUAUCAACAGUAUCGAAUGCUUCUUGUUUGUCACUGAUAGCAUAGCUUAUGCUAAGAAACUGACAAUGAUUACUCCUAUUUGCCCUUAUCUGGAAUUCUUUCAACAAUAAGAACAAAAGGAAGUGAUGUCCACAUUUGCCACAGUGAAGCUGUAGACUUACUCUUAAAGGACAUAUUCAGAUUUUUAAAAGCAUACAGCCAUGAAACUUAGAAAUAUUGAACCAAAUAUCUUCAUGUGAUACUAAGACAGCAGAGAAAAGGCAUAUUCACUGAUGGGAUACACGAUCAAGGAAGAAAAGAGUAUGGAAGUGAAUAUAACUGGUUUACUCUGUUUCUACUUGAAAUGGACACUGUUUAAACUGUCAAUUCUCACAUAUUUGUUAUGUACUCACUAUCACAGGCACUGUUCUUGAAAAUAAGGAUACAAGUAAUUGAUAAAUAAUGCCUACCUCAUGACAUUUGUAUUCUAUUAUCUGGAGACAUACAGUAAAUUUUAAGUGCAAUAAGUAAACAUGUGUUGCAUUCAAGAGUAACAGUUACAAUAGAGGGGUAUAAUACUUUAAAGGAGAAUGGAAAGUUAAGACUGAGAAAAAGUGUUUUAUAUUGCUGAGAAAAUAUUGGUUAUUCUUGGUGUAGGUCUGGGAACAAAAACCUUUCAAUGAAUCAAACUAACUCACUUCAAUGAGCAAUUUUUUUGGUUUUUGCAAACCAACCAAUUGGCAUCAGCUUCUGUCAUCCCAAAUUAAUCAGUCAUGAAGGAAUGCCUUCUGAAAGCCAAUCAACGGACAGUCUCACUGGAAUGAUCUUAUGUCUACAGAUGAAAGCCAUGCUUCUCAUAUUCUGUAAUUCUGAAAGCUCAUGCCUCCCAAGCAAUGUGUAAUCAUCAUAUGAUGAUCUGCUUUUUGUUGUCACUGGGCAGCAUAACUCUUCUUGACUGUGGUAGACCAAGCAAUUAGGCUUUAUCUUUUUAUCUCAUUCCUAUGUGGUGGCUAGCAAGUAGAAGGUGCUCCACUUUUGACCAAAGAAAUAAAGAAGGCCACAGAAUUUAUCAAGUUACAGACUUGGAAUUUUUUUCAAAGGAGAAAAUAGGUCCAGAAACUUAAAAUAGGAACACCAUUAGUAACAAGUAAGGUGUUCUUCCUUCCUCAUCAAGUCUAAGCACCCCCUACUUCAUCUAGAGACUCCUGGGACCUAGGGAAAGCAGCAAGAAAGAUGUGUCACAAAUAAUUGGUUGCCCAAUUGAAACUCUUUACCUGCCUCAGCCCUCUAGAGGCAUCACAAGGAUUUUACUGCUAAAGAUGGCCUCAUCCCAAGGACUAUGUUCCUUCUCAUGUCCUAGUGGAAAGGCCAUCAACAUAAGCGUAGAACUAGAAAGCAUCUUCAUCUCCAGCUUGCAUGUUUCUUGCUUAGAGAUACUAGGCAGAAGAGCCAGUGUGACUUUGGAUUCAAGUCAUAGUUGAACUCUAGUGGAAGCCCCUGUGGUACAAGACAAACCAAGCUAGAACAAAGGGUUUGCAAAACAGACCUGAACUGAAAUGGGGUAGAAAGUGGACCAGGAUCUGGAUGCUGACCCUAAACAGAUUGACUACAUGCUGGAAACAUUAAAUGGAGCCGAAACUUACCCUAACAUAAUAGCAAAUACUCGGAACAUAUUAAAAAAAAAACCAAUUAGCAAGAACUAAUUUUCAUAAGACAGGAGAAUUUACAUGAAAAAGGAGCAUUAAUAGUUCCAAGAUGAAUCAAGUGCUGGAACUAUCUGACAAGAGUUUUAAAGCAACCAAUAUAAAAAUGAAUCAAUAAACAGUAACAAAAAGCCAAUUUGUUUUGAAUCACAAAAGAAUAGAAAAAUCUUAGCAAAGAAAGAGUGAUUUUAAAAACAAACUUCCUAGGGAUUAUGUAACUUAAAAAGUGUGAUGUAAAGUAAAUAAUAAGAUGGUGUCAUAAAAUAUCAGUAAUUACAUUAAGUUUAAGUGAUUUAAAGUUAAUAAAAAAUACUUUGAGAA